rnacentral:rRNA from 1 species
UACGUAGGGUGCGAGCGUUGCCCGGAUUUAUUGGGCGUAAAGGGCGCGUAGGCGGCUCGGCACGUCCGUUGUGAAAUCGCCCGGCUCAACUGGGCGGGGUCAGCGGAUACGGUCGAGCUUGAGCAAGCUAGGGGGCAAUGGAAUUCCUGGUGUAGCGGUGAAAUGCGCAGAUAUCAGGAAGAACACCAGCGGCGAAGGCGGCGCUCUGGGCUGGCACUGACGCUGAGGAGCGAAAGCGUGGGUAGCGAACAGG